rnacentral:rRNA from 1 species
AUGGCAGCAUCCACUUUCCUUGAGGAGGUCGGUGAGUGUUUGGUGCCCGCCCCGGUGGUGGCGGAGCCCAUAGCGGUCGAUACGGUAGUGGAGCUUGAGGUGGCGUCGCAAAAGAUGCUGGAUCAGGCGCAACCGGAGCCGGAGGGUCCGGCUUUCACAGCGAAGGCACAAAUCUUGCCGGGCAGUGAAGCGGCGGCGGAGAGGAAAGACAGUUCUCCACCCAGUUCGGAGCUGUCAACUGGGAAGAUGAACCCCCGAGCGCCUGGAUGGAAUAAGAGGUUGAGGACCGUUGCUGCAACUCCAAGCCGCCCACCUUGCCCAAACCGCACCAGUGCAUUUGAGAAGGCCGUUCGUAGCUAUGCCGAAAACCCAACUGAGAAUGUAAUAACCCCAACUGUCGGCACAUCGUUCGACUCGGUUGGGGAGGCAUACGACUUUUACAAUUUGUAUUCAUGGGAAAAGGGCUUUGGUAUUCGAUACGGUAAGAGCCGACUGAAUGUUGAGAGGACGAAGUGCAUGCAGGAAAUAGUCUGUGGUUGCUCGGGGAAAGCUGGUGUGGAGAACACAAGGUCAUGUCGUUGCGAAUGCCCUGCUCUGAUAAUGGCUGGACCAAUGCAUCAGAGGCAAGUGGCAAAUGCAACGACUGCUGUGUCGAGGCAAAUGCCAUUGAUGCAGGUCCCCCGGGCUUCGGGCGUAGCACGGCCACAUCUAUUGGUGUGCAACAGACAGAAGGAGAUGAAAAUGAAAUGGGGAAUAUCUUGCAAGAGAUCACAGAAAUGGAAGCUACUACUAUAG